rnacentral:piRNA from 1 species
UAAACACAAUUGUUGUCAUUGCCAUGGUCU